rnacentral:rRNA from 1 species
GGGUUGUGAGGUUAAGCGACUAAGCGUACACGGUGGAUGCCCUGGCAGUCAGAGGCGAUGAAGGACGUGCUAAUCUGCGAUAAGCGUCGGUAAGGUGAUAUGAACCGUUAUAACCGGCGAUUUCCGAAUGGGGAAACCCAGUGUGUUUCGACACACUAUCAUUAACUGAAUCCAUAGGUUAAUGAGGCGAACCGGGGGAACUGAAACAUCUAAGUACCCCGAGGAAAAGAAAUCAACCGAGAUUCCCCCAGUAGCGGCGAGCGAACGGGGAGGAGCCCAGAGCCUGAAUCAGUGUGUGUGUUAGUGGAAGCGUCUGGAAAGGCGCGCGAUACAGGGUGACAGCCCCGUACACAAAAAUGCACAUGCUGUGAGCUCGAUGAGUAGGGCGGGACACGUGGUAUCCUGUCUGAAUAUGGGGGGACCAUCCUCCAAGGCUAAAUACUCCUGACUGACCGAUAGUGAACCAGUACCGUGAGGGAAAGGCGAAAAGAACCCCGGCGAGGGGAGUGAAAAAGAACCUGAAACCGUGUACGUACAAGCAGUGGGAGCACAGAGCAAUCUGUGUGACUGCGUACCUUUUGUAUAAUGGGUCAGCGACUUAUAUUCUGUAGCAAGGUUAACCGAAUAGGGGAGCCGAAGGGAAACCGAGUCUUAACUGGGCGUUAAGUUGCAGGGUAUAGACCCGAAACCCGGUGAUCUAGCCAUGGGCAGGUUGAAGGUUGGGUAACACUAACUGGAGGACCGAACCGACUAAUGUUGAAAAAUUAGCGGAUGACUUGUGGCUGGGGUAGAAAAGCCAAUCAAACCGGGAGAUAGCUGGUUCUCUACGAGAGCUAAUUAGGUAGCGCCUCGUGAAUUCAUCUCCGGGGUAGAGCACUGUUUCGGCAAGGGGGUCAUCCCGACUUACCAACCCGAUGCAAACUGCGAAUACCGGAGAAUGUUAUCACGGGAGACACACGGCGGGUGCUAACGUCCGUCGUGAAGAGGGAAACAACCCAGACCGCCAGCUAAGGUCCCAAAGUCAUGGUUAAGUGGGAAACGAUGUGGGAAGGCCCAGACAGCCAGGAUGUUGGCUUAGAAGCAGCCAUCAUUUAAAGAAAGCGUAAUAGCUCACUGGUCGAGUCGGCCUGCGCGGAAGAUGUAACGGGGCUAAACCAUGCACCGAAGCUGCGGCAGCGACACUGUGUGUUGUUGGGUAGGGGAGCGUUCUGUAAGCCUGUGAAGGUGUGCUGUGAGGUAUGCUGGAGGUAUCAGAAGUGCGAAUGCUGACAUAAGUAACGAUAAAGCGGGUGAAAAGCCCGCUCGCCGGAAGACCAAGGGUUCCUGUCCAACGUUAAUCGGGGCAGGGUGAGUCGACCCCUAAGGCGAGGCCGAAAGGCGUAGUCGAUGGGAAACAGGUUAAUAUUCCUGUACUUGGUGUUACUGCGAAGGGGGGACGGAGAAGGCUAUGUUGGCCGGGCGACGGUUGUCCCGGUUUAAGCGUGUAGGCUGGUUUUCCAGGCAAAUCCGGAAAAUCAAGGCUGAGGCGUGAUGACGAGGCACUACGGUGCUGAAGCAACAAAUGCCCUGCUUCCAGGAAAAGCCUCUAAGCAUCAGGUAACAUCAAAUCGUACCCCAAACCGACACAGGUGGUCAGGUAGAGAAUACCAAGGCGCUUGAGAGAACUCGGGUGAAGGAACUAGGCAAAAUGGUGCCGUAACUUCGGGAGAAGGCACGCUGAUAUGUAGGUGAAGUCCCUCGCGGAUGGAGCUGAAAUCAGUCGAAGAUACCAGCUGGCUGCAACUGUUUAUUAAAAACACAGCACUGUGCAAACACGAAAGUGGACGUAUACGGUGUGACGCCUGCCCGGUGCCGGAAGGUUAAUUGAUGGGGUUAGCGCAAGCGAAGCUCUUGAUCGAAGCCCCGGUAAACGGCGGCCGUAACUAUAACGGUCCUAAGGUAGCGAAAUUCCUUGUCGGGUAAGUUCCGACCUGCACGAAUGGCGUAAUGAUGGCCAGGCUGUCUCCACCCGAGACUCAGUGAAAUUGAACUCGCUGUGAAGAUGCAGUGUACCCGCGGCAAGACGGAAAGACCCCGUGAACCUUUACUAUAGCUUGACACUGAACAUUGAGCCUUGAUGUGUAGGAUAGGUGGGAGGCUUUGAAGUGUGGACGCCAGUCUGCAUGGAGCCGACCUUGAAAUACCACCCUUUAAUGUUUGAUGUUCUAACGUGGACCCGUGAUCCGGGUUGCGGACAGUGUCUGGUGGGUAGUUUGACUGGGCGGUCUCCUCCUAAAGAGUAACGGAGGAGCACGAAGGUUGGCUAAUCCUGGUCGGACAUCAGGAGGUUAGUGCAAUGGCAUAAGCCAGCUUGACUGCGAGCGUGACGGCGCGAGCAGGUGCGAAAGCAGGUCAUAGUGAUCCGGUGGUUCUGAAUGGAAGGGCCAUCGCUCAACGGAUAAAAGGUACUCCGGGGAUAACAGGCUGAUACCGCCCAAGAGUUCAUAUCGACGGCGGUGUUUGGCACCUCGAUGUCGGCUCAUCACAUCCUGGGGCUGAAGUAGGUCCCAAGGGUAUGGCUGUUCGCCAUUUAAAGUGGUACGCGAGCUGGGUUUAGAACGUCGUGAGACAGUUCGGUCCCUAUCUGCCGUGGGCGCUGGAGAACUGAGGGGGGCUGCUCCUAGUACGAGAGGACCGGAGUGGACGCAUCACUGGUGUUCGGGUUGUCAUGCCAAUGGCACUGCCCGGUAGCUAAAUGCGGAAGAGAUAAGUGCUGAAAGCAUCUAAGCACGAAACUUGCCCCGAGAUGAGUUCUCCCUGACCCUUUAAGGGUCCUGAAGGAACGUUGAAGACGACGACGUUGAUAGGCCGGGUGUGUAAGCGCAGCGAUGCGUUGAGCUAACCGGUACUAAUGAACCGUGAGGCUUAACCUUACAACGCCGAAGGUGUUU